GUCGGCUCUACUCAACCUUUCGGAUUGGACAACCUGAGCCAUGGAAGAUUCAACCACAACAGCAGCUUGUUUGAUCUGCAAGCAUGCACUUGUGGAGCGGCUGAACAUAUUCAAGACUCGGACAAACUUUUCCAAAACCCUGGUUUCAUCUAAGCUUUCCAAAUUAGUACAAGUUCCAUUUAAACAGGACUCGCUGGAGAACUCUCAGGAAAUCUGCAAUAGCUGCUCCUCCCUGAUCAACCAGGUGGAUGAGUGUGAGAUCAAGCUGAUGGCCCUGGAGAAUGAGGUGAAGCUCAAGUACAAGAUGCCCUUCCCGAUCG
rnacentral:lncRNA from 1 species